CAGGGGAGUGCUUAAUUUUUGCUGAAACACAACGAGGGACUCUUGUAGGUUUAAAGGAAACCUCACUUUUGGGCUGAUAGAAGAUUAGGAUUUUGUCUACCUCUCCUUUUUCUCCUUUUCAUUAUCAUGUAACUUAAUCUAAUAUAAAAUCCGACUUAACUUGUAGCAUCUGUUUAUGUAUACAUUCAUCAUGGUUAUAUAUUUAUUAUAAAAUUCAAGUUCCAUUUUAAAAA
rnacentral:misc_RNA from 1 species